UAGGCCUUUCGGGGAACCGAGGAGACAGGUGCUGCAUGGCUGUCGUCAGCUCGUGUCGUGAGAUGUUGGUUAAGUCCCGCAACGAGCGCAACCCUUAUCUUUAAUUGCCAGCAUUCAGUUGGGCACUUUAAAGAGACUGCCGGUGUUAAACCGGAGGAAGGUGGGGAUGACGUCAAGUCCUCAUGGCCUUUAUGCUUAGGGCUACACACGUGCUACAAUGGGUGGUACAAAGAGAAGCCAACUCGCGAGAGCGCGCCAAUCUCAAAAAGCCAUCCUCAGUUCGGAUUGGAGUCUGCAACUCGACUCCAUGAAGUUGGAAUCGCUAAUAAUCGCGGAUCAGCAUGCCGCGGUCGAAUACGUUCCCGGGCCUU
rnacentral:rRNA from 1 species